UACGUAGGGUGCAGGCGUUAAUCGGAAUUACUGGGCGUAAAGCGCGCGCAGGCGGUUUCUUAAGUCAGAUGUGAAAGCCCCGGGCUCAACCUGGGAAUUGCGAUGGAGACUGCAAGGCUUGAAUCUGGCAGAGGGGGGUAGAAUUCCACGUGUAGCAGUGAAAUGCGUAGAGAUGUGGAGGAACACCGAUGGCGGAGGCAGCCCCCUGGGUCAAGAUUGACGCUCAUGCACGAAAGCGUGGGGAGCAAACAGG
rnacentral:rRNA from 1 species